UACGAGGGGGGCAAGCGUUGUUCGGAAUUAUUGGGCGUAAAGGGUGCGUAGGUGGUUCGGCAAGUCUUGUGUGAAAUCUUCAGGCUCAACUUGAAGUCUGCACAAGAAACUGCCGGGCUUUGAGUAUGGGAGAGGUGAGUGGAAUUUCCGGUGUAGCGGUGAAAUGCGUAGAUAUCGGAAGGAACACCUGUGGCGAAAGCGGCUCACUGGACCAUUACUGACACUGAGGCACGAAAGCUAGGGGAGCAAACAGG
rnacentral:rRNA from 1 species